UAAGGAAUAUUGCUCAAUGGGAGAAAUCCUGAAGCAGCAACGCCGCGUGGAGGAUGAAGGGUCUAUGACUUGUAAACUCCUGUAAAGAAGGAAAAAAUUCCCAUUUGAUGGGAGAUGAUGGUACUUCUGGAGUAAGCCCCGGCUAACUACGUGCCAGCAGCCGCGGUAAUACGUAGGGGGCAAGCGUUAUCCGGAUUUAUUGGGUUUAAAGGGUCCGUAGGCGGACUUAUAAGUCAGUGGUGAAAGCCUGUCGCUUAACGAUAGAACUGCCAUUGAUACUGUAAGUCUUGGGUAUAUUUGAGGUAGCUGGAAUAAGUAGUGUAGCGGUGAAAUGCAUAGAUAUUACUUAGAACACCAAUUACGAAGGCAGGUUACCAAGAUAUAACUGACGCUGAGGGACGAAAGCGUGGGGAGCGAACA
rnacentral:rRNA from 1 species